AUAAAACAUUCCGUCCUGUAGAAAGUUAUGUUGGACAGUGCUAGACCUUUCACCAAAGCCCUUUCCACUGUACCUUAAUGAGUCAGUUCCUCAUCUGUAACACCUUAUCGCCUUUAAUACUGUGUCACAUAUUUCGAUAAAUAGUUUAAAGGUGGAAAGAAUGUGUGAAACAUUUUUCCUACUUGUAUUCAGUUUUGAUUGUCCUCAGCGAUUCAUGGAGUGUGUGAAGUUAUUUCAGACAUCAGCAGCCUUAAGUGAGCAAUCACAGGGUUGAGUUCUUCAGACAGAAUGAGAAAGAAUGGACUUAUUCAGGCUUUGUCUGCCUCAUGUGAAAUGAAAAGUUAAUUCUGGUCUGUAUCAAAUGAAAGUAACUUCCUGGUUGAAGUUUGGUUUUUUUUGGUACUGGGGCUCAAACUUGGGACCUUGCACUUGCAAGGCGGGUGCUGGAACCACUUUGCUAAAUCCCCGGCCCCUGGUUGAAGUUUUAAACAUCUCUGCUCAAUUUAUUUUCUGUAAGGAUCUCAGCACCCAGUUAAUUUUGGCUUUUAGUAAUCUAAUAUUGAUGGUUCUUUUUAUUUGUCCUUUAUAAUCCUUGUUAUGGCUUGUAUCUAGGUGUCUUCCCCAAAGUCUCAUGUGAUAGGUUGGGCUUUUUUCAGACUAUUUCUCCUCUGCAAUGUCCCCCUGUCAUGCCACCCUGCCUUGGAGCCAGCCAAUUAUUGACUGAAACCUCUACAAACUGUGAGCUGAAUAAAACUUUCCUCCUUUAAUGCUGGGUGUCAGGAAUUUUGUCUCAGCAACGAGAAAAGUAACAAUCCUGAACAGUACCUGGCACAGAGGAGGCACUCAAUAAAUAUUUGAUGAAUACAUGAAUGAAGACUUUUCAUCUUUCAUCAGUUGGAAGCAGGAUGCAUUUCAAUCAACUAUGCAAAUCAGUCUUAAGCAGUCUUUGAGAAUUAUGUGACUAAGAAGAUGGAAGUCAAAUGGUUUCCGUAGUCUAUGAGGGUUAUACAGAUGAAUGUGUCCUCUGUUUCAUGAUGUGAUCCUCAACUGAUAGAGCUUUGUAUAUAGGGACCAGAGCAACAUGGGCAGUUUUAAGGUUAUGUCAAUAUCUUAGUCGUUUUGUGCUGCUAUAAAAAAUACCCAAAACUGCCAAACUUACAAGGUACAUGGAUCUAUUGGAUCACAGUUCUGGAGGCCAGGAAGUCUAAGGUCAAGGAAAUGGCCAUUGUCUUUUUCCAAGAUAACAACCUGUAUGUCAAGUUCUCUGAGAGAGAGGAAGACUGGAUCUUCAUUAGGCAAAAUGCAAAAGGCCAAGAGGCAAAAGUUGGCAGA
ensembl:lncRNA